ACGGGUGAGUAAUACAUCGGAACGUGCCUAGUAGUGGGGGAUAACUACUCGAAAGAGUAGCUAAUACCGCAUGAGAUCUACCGAUGAAAGCAGGGGACCUUCGGGCCUUGUGCUACUAGAGCGGCUGAUGGCAGAUUAGGUAGUUGGUGGGGUAAAGGCUUACCAAGCCUGCGAUCUGUAGCUGGUCUGAGAGGACGACCAGCCACACUGGGACUGAGACACGGCCCAGACUCCUACGGGAGGCAGCAGCGGGGAAUUUUGGACAAUGGGCGAAAGCCUGAUCCAGCAAUGCCGCGUGCAGGAUGAAGGCCCUCGGGUUGUAAACUGCUUUUGUACGGAACGAAAAGCCUGGGGCUAAUAUCCCCGGGUCAUGACGGUACCGUAAGAAUAAGCACCGGCUAACUACGUGCCAGCAGCCGCGGUAAUACGUAGGGUGCAAGCGUUAAUCGGAAUUACUGGGCGUAAAGCGUGCGCAGGCGGUUUUGUAAGACAGUGGUGAAAUCCCCGGGCUCAACCUGGGAACUGCCAUUGUGACUACAAGGCUAGAGUGCGGCAGAGGGGGAUGGAAUUCCGCGUGUAGCAGUGA
rnacentral:rRNA from 1 species